rnacentral:rRNA from 1 species
AUUGAACGCUGGCGGCAUGCCUUACACAUGCAAGUCGAACGGUAACAGGUCUUCGGAUGCUGACGAGUGGCGAACGGGUGAGUAAUACAUCGGAACGUGCCCGAGAGUGGGGGAUAACGAAGCGAAAGCUUUGCUAAUACCGCAUACGAUCUCAGGAUGAAAGCAGGGGGCCGCAAGGCCUUGCGCUCACGGAGCGGCCGAUGGCAGAUUAGGUAGUUGGUGGGAUAAAAGCUCACCCAGCCGACGAUCUGUAGCUGGUCUGAGAGGACGACCAGCCACACUGGGACUGAGACACGGCCCAGACUCCUACGGGAGGCAGCAGUGGGGAAUUUUGGACAAUGGGGGCAACCCUGAUCCAGCAAUGCCGCGUGCAGGAAGAAGGCCUUCGGGUUGUAAACUGCUUUUGUACGGAACGAAAAGGCUCUGGUUAAUACCUGGGGCACAUGACGGUACCGUAAGAAUAAGCACCGGCUAACUACGUGCCAGCCGCCGCGGUAAAAC